rnacentral:rRNA from 1 species
UAAGGAAUAUUGGACAAUGGAGGCAACUCUGACCCAGCCAUGCCGCGUGAAGGAAUAAGGCCCUAUGGGUUGUAAACUUCUUUUAGACGGGACAAAACCCCUUUACGUGUAAAGGGUUGAUGGUACUGUCAGAAUAAGCAUCGGCUAACUUCGUGCCAGCAGCCGCGGUAAUACGAAGGAUGCAAGCGUUAUCCGGAAUUAUUGGGUUUAAAGGGUGCGUAGGCGGACUAAUAAGUCAGUGGUGAAAGCCUGCAGCUUAACUGCAGAAUUGCCAUUGAUACUGUUACUCUUGAGUACAGUUGAGGUAGGCGGAAUGUGUCAUGUAGCGGUGAAAUGCUUAGAUAUGACACAGAACACCGAUUGCGAAGGCAGCUUGCUAAGCUGUAACUGACGCUGAGGCACGAAAGCGUGGGGAGCAAACA